rnacentral:rRNA from 1 species
AGUCCAGACUCCUACGGGAGGCAGCAGUGGGGAAUAUUGCACAAUGGGGGAAACCCUGAUGCAGCGACGCCGCGUGAGUGAAGAAGUAUUUCGGUAUGUAAAGCUCUAUCAGCAGGGAAGAAGAAGGACGGUACCUGAGUAAGAAGCCCCGGCUAACUACGUGCCAGCAGCCGCGGUAAUACGUAGGGGGCAAGCGUUAUCCGGAUUUACUGGGUGUAAAGGGAGCGUAGACGGCAGCACAAGUCUGGAGUGAAAUGCCGGGGCUUAACCCCGGAACUGCUUUGGAAACUGUGCAGCUAGAGUGCAGGAGAGGUAAGUGGAAUUCCUAGUGUAGCGGUGAAAUGCGUAGAUAUUAGGGGGAACAUCAGUGGCGAAGGCGACUAUCUGGCACAUAACUGACGCUGAGGAGCGAAAGCGUGGGUAGCAAACAGGAUUAGAUACCCCAGUAC